UACGUAGGGUGCGAGCGUUGUCCGGAAUUAUUGGGCGUAAAGAGCUCGUAGGCGGUUUGGUAAGUCAGGUGUGAAAUCUCCACGCUCAACGUGGAGGGGCCACCUGAUACUGCCAUGACUGGAGUCCGGUAGGGGAGACUGGAAUUCCUGGUGUAGCGGUGAAAUGCGCAGAUAUCAGGAGGAACACCGGUGGCGAAGGCGGGUUGCUGGGCCGACACUGACGCUGAGGCGCGAAAGCCAGGGGAGCGAACGGG
rnacentral:rRNA from 1 species